ensembl:lncRNA
AGCAAAAUGAAGCGUAAAGUAGGGCUGGGUAUCGUCACUGAUUUCUAGAAUCGAUUCAAUUCCGAUUCACAAGGUCCCGAAUCGAUUCGAUCCACGAUUCGAUUUAAUUCGAUUUGAUUUAAAUCUGGGAAAUUUUGACAGUCAGAAAUAUAAUUCAGAUCAGUACAUUUACAUAUUUUUGUAUCAAUAAAAAGGAAGCUGACACACUUUAUCACAGGUGUGAGCGUCACAGCAGAUGCCUUUGUGUCAAAGUAGCUGAGGAUAAAACACAGAAAAACAUGAAGAACAUUGUGUGCUUUGGAGAAACAGCAGAGGAUCAACAAAGGUUCAGUUUUAAAUCCAAACAACAUGGAGAAAAACAUUGUGUACUGCCUGCUGUGCAACAAGCCC